CUCUAGCUUCGACUUGGUUUUCCAGGACUUAAGGACCUAGAAGAUGCGAGGAGCCGUGGUGCUGACAUUCUGCAGUCUUGCCACUGCAUACUUGAAUACCAACUGUCCAAAGGCACUAAAUGGUUGGCCUAAAAUACACCCACCCCCAAAUUUUAAACCAAAUCCAGCCCAAGGAGAUUUGCCACCUUAUCACACUCCAUCCCUACAAUCGCCCAUCAACAUCCGCUCCAGCAAAGCCGCCAAGGUCAAACUGCCACCCCUUAAGUUUGAGAACAUGCUAAACGAUGGUGUGCGAGUCAUUAUGAGAAAUACUGGGACAACGGUGCAAUUCGAAAUAGCGAAUGAAAGUGUGAUGGCACCCCGACUGGUUGGCGGGCCAUUAACUUGCCAUGGAGAGUAUGAGUUUUCCAAUCUGCAUGUACAUUGGGGAACGGAAGAUAAUCUUGGCGGCGAGCACGAAAUAAACGACAGAAGAUUUGCAAUCGAAGGUCACUGUGUACAUUUCAAAAAGAAAUAUCAAACAAUAGAAGAAGCAGAAAAGCACUCAGAUGGCUUGGCAGUAGUAGCAUUUUUUGCCAAAGCUGGAGACGUUGAUAACCCCAAGAUCGAUCGGUUGGUCGAGCUACUGCCCAGCAUCAGGUACCCCAACUCCUCGGUGACCCUGGCGGCCAGAGACAGUCUGGACUGGUUUGAUGAACUGGCGGAACCUUUCAACUACUUCACAUGCCCCGGUUCUCUCACCACGCCUCCCUACACCGAAAAUGUUUUCUGGAUCGUCUACCCUCGGCCUAUGUCCGUAUCAUCCAGACAGGUAACAAUACUCGCUCCUUAUGACUCACCUAACUCACUUGGGAUUCGUGUGUGGACGACCUGAACCCGAACUAUUCCUCUUUCUCUCUAGGCCUUUGUUAUAGACAUUUGAAUGUCCUAAGGUUAAAGCUUUCAGGAACCUGCUUUCAAACGAUCUCAUGGUCAACAGAGAAAACAUCAGACCAGUGCAGCCUUUCAACUCAAGACCCCUGAUAUACUCCGUUCCAAAGUUGCAGUAGCACAUCACGUUCUAAUAUUAAACUAAUAUUUUACUAUUAUUUAUAAUAAAUUGUUAUGUUUUCUAUUGUUAACAA